GAGUCAAAUUGCUUAACACCAUAUAUGCAAUUCGUGUCUAGUUUUCUCUGCUUUUAAAGGACCACUUUAGAAUCUUAUGACACCGAUGUAUAACCCAGUUCAUCAUCACCCUUUGUGGAUGGCGAUGAGGGCUGGUUUGUUGAAGUGGUAGGGUUGGGACCCAAGUCUCUAAACUCUAGGUUUCUGUGUUUCCCUCCCCAGUCCGUGAAACCCCUCAUGCCUGUUGGCUGGGGGGAGAUGCCAGUGGCCUCUUCAGAACAUCUGAAGGCGAACCUGAGUGGCACUGGACUCCAUCAUCAGAGCAGCCCACAGAGGGCCAGCAUGGCUCUUCCACGGUGAGACGCCUUGGCUGAUAACCACUUCUGGGUUAGCUCAGGACACGUGGGAAACACCCCCUCCCUGACUCCCUGAUUCUGAACUGGGCUGUCCAUCAACAAUGCAAGGUCUGAGUUCCAGGGGCCAUGUCGUGUAUAUGGUGUGAGGGCCUGAAGAUAUUUAAAGGAAAAGUUGACUGAUGUUCUUUCAAUUCCUCCACGUUAUGAAGACUGAUUCCAGUUUAAGGAGAAUUCCAGGUAAGAAAAAAAUUCAAUUUUUAAUUUUAGACAAGACUAUUUCUGAAAAAAACUCUCAGUUCUUAGGUUAUAUUACCAGUUACACUGUACUGUAAUGCAUAGAGUUUAGACUUCAUGUAGAGUUUAGACUUCAUACGCUAAUUUCUGAUGGGAAGAAGAGGAUGACAGCCCUUUAGGGGAAAUGAAUGAUAACAUCACUGAGUUUUUCAUUAAUUUUUAAUGAGGCUUGUACAUUUCACUCACAGAGUUAAGCAUCACCCAACUCUGGUAAAUGUUAUCCUCAUACAGGUCAUUCAAUCACUUGAGUUUUAAGAGCAAGUUACUAUUUUUCAUUUUGCACUCUGAAAAAUAUCUUCUAUACAGGGAACAAUUAAAACAGUAGGACUAUAUUAAUUAUGUGACUACUUAAAAAUGACUCAAUUAUAAUAACAAUUUGCUACAUGAUAUAUCACACAUAGUUCCUAUUUUUAUUAAAAAACGAGUUACUCCAGCAAUUAUAUGAUGAAACUAACCCGUUUAUAUUUUAGCUGAACAUCUUUGGGUGUUUGUUGUUUUGUGCAUUUUCUUUAAUUCAUUUUCUUUUCUUAAUUGACCUUUUACAACCUGUUUCCUAGAUUUCAUAUUAACUGGUGAUGAAUCUGAACCAUUUAGUUGAUACAGUAAGUAAUUUCUUUAAUAUAUUGGAGACAUAAAAGAUACAGUAGAAGUUUUAUAUAUUUUUAAUUAAAAAAUUAUUCUACAGUACAAAGUCCCUUCCAGGCACCAGUCUCUUCAAAGACACACCCGGCUUGUGAGGAGGCUGUGUCCAUGCCAGUGGGGCUAAAGAUACGUUCUGGUAGUUUCCUAGAACAGCUGUGUGGCAGGCAUCAUUCCCAGCUCUGAUUUUAUUAAGAUAAAACUCCCAGGUUUCUGUUGCUGAAAAGUCCUGAAAAAGCCCUGAGGCCUCUCACAGUGCCUUUCCUGCAGUGGAGGCUGUCGGGUCUCACUUCUGAGUGACGGGGUCCUCAGCAAGCUACUGACAGAGCUGACCCACUUGGGAAAACCCCACCCCCACUUGCUUUCCAUCAGCAGAGAGGGGAGGCGGUUGUAGAGACAGGCCGUGGGGCCUGGUGCUAAGGGCCUGGCUGUGGGUGGGUGGGGCCCUGCUCAUCCACAGAAGAGCUGUGAUCUGGAGACACAUGCUUGAAUCUGAUUCAGCACGUGGAUUCAGGCAUCAGAAUCAGAAUCUUGGCAUGCUUGAAAAUGGCCCCAAGGUAGAGGGCAGCCGGGAGCACGUGGAUUCUGGCCACGGCCAUGAGCCAGCACACUGAGGAGUUCAGGUUGCUGGGCUGGGAUUUCUCAGCUCUACUGUCCUCAUCUGCAAAAUUAAUCUGCUUGAUUAUAUCUGGAAUAUUCAUUCUGCUCCAGUGAGUCCUAGAGUUUCUGAAGAGCCCUCUUUGAGUCUUCCCUGGAUGGGUAACCGUGGUGUGAAGAGUGGUCUCAGUCGUCCAAGCCCUGACUCAACCAGAGCAAAUGUGGGUUCAUGGCUUUCCCGUGUGCUUCUGAGUAAAUUCUGAUUUGACAAAGAUAACCUGCUGCUGAGAAGAAUAAAGGAUCUGAAAAGUUACCGUACAGCAUGAGUCUCCGACUGAGCCCUCUCAGGAUGAUCAGCGCUGGCUUCUGCUCUUGCUGCCUCAGCCCUCUCAAGAUGAUCAGCGCUGGCUUCCUCUCUUGCUGCCUCCUUAUGUAGGACACGCCAUCUCAGACGUGGGGACGGCACCCCUGGACCAAGUCCCCAUGCCUCCACGGAGCCAAAACACAGACCUUUCCUGCUGCACACUCACUUAGGAGCACCAAUAACCCAGAAGCACUUCCAGAAAUAAAGGUGGAAAAUGAUUCUAGACUGUGCUUCAUACUCUAUAGCUUGAAAUUUCUUAAAAGAGGCAAUAAUGCUUCCCAAUUUGUAAAACAUGGGAAAAAAUUCCAUUUCAUAAAAAUGAUAUUAGUGUAACACUGACAAUGGCGAUGACACAGUCACGAAUCACCCCUGUCCCAUCAGAACUGUUCCCUUUCCGCUUCAGGCUUUUUGAAGGUUACAAAAAUAAACAUUUUAAUAAAACAAGAUGAAAUUCCAGCAGGAAAAGACCAUUACUUUUAAUGAGAUUCCUUGAAAUGAAGAACUAUAGCUUAAUUGAUU